AUGGACCUCCCUGCUCAGGAGCAGCAGCCUGAGCCUGAACCCGCCCUGCCGCUCGUCCGCCUGAACCACGUCGCCUUCUCGUGCACGUCCGUCGAGGACUCCGUCGACUUCUACCGACGCGUGCUCGGCUUCCAGCUGAUCCAACGCCCGGCGUCCCUGGACUUCGGGGGAGCAUGGAUGCAUAGAUACGGCAUGGGCAUACACCUGCUGCAGCGGAGCGCCGGCUGCGACGCGCCUCCGAGAUCGCCGGCGAUCAACCCGAAGGGCAACCACAUAUCCUUUCAGUGCUCGGACAUGGCGCUGACGAAGGCGAGGCUGCGCGAUAUGAACCUGGAGGUGGUCACCACGAGGGUGCGGGACGGCGAGACGACGGUGGAGCAGCUCUUCUUCCACGCCCCGGACGGGAACGUGAUCGAGAUCUGCAACUGCGAGGACCUUCCCGUGGUGCCCCUUGCUCCACCUGCUUGCCUUGCCAAGCACACGGUGUAG
rnacentral:rRNA from 1 species